rnacentral:lncRNA from 1 species
CUGGGAACCACGCCUUUAGCCUUUGUAUUCAGAGGUGGUCCACAGACCGGCAGCGUCAGCGUCUCUGUGAGUUCAUUAGAAGCGCAGUCUCAGGCCCCAGCCCAGACCUACCGAAUCCGAAUUCCCCACUUUAACAGGAACCCCGGGUGAUAUUUGUGCGCAAUAAAGUUUGAGAAAAGCUGAUGUAGAGGAUUACUGGAGUGAAACAUGUUGGUGAAAAACAAGGAAACGUAUUCUGCUUUCACAUCUUCUAGUAAAGCCCCUGGAAGCCACCAUUCUACUUUUUGUCUCUUUGAGUUUGACUAUCCUGGAUACCUCAUAUUUUAACUGCAUCAUCACAGAUGGCUCCUGUGUCUCCAGGCAUCAUUUAUAUAUUUCUGGCAGGAGGAAGAGGAAACAGAAAGAACAAAAGGCAAAACCUGGGUGCCAGUGGAGUUGGCUGUAUCUAAUAAACUCUCCCCAAAGCCCUGUCGAAUGACUUUCUCUGCCCUCUCAUUAGCUGUUCUCUGCCACCUGGCCACAUCUUGCGUGAUGUCAAUGAAAAUAAUCCAUAACUAAUCUACAAAUGAAAAUUUGG